CCGCGGUAUCCUAACCGUGCAAAGGUAGCGUAAUCACUUGUCUCCUAAAUAGGGACCAGUAUGAACGGCUAAAUGAGGACUAAUCUGUCUCCUUUAAUUAAUCAGUGAAACUGAUCUACCAGUACAAAAGCUGGUAUUAUAUCAUAAGACGAGAAGACCCUGUGGAGCUUUAAAUUGAAGACCAAAACAGAAACUCUAAAACCCAACUAAUGGUCCAAAAUUUUAAGUUGGGGCGACUUCGGAACAAAACAAAACUUCCGAGCAUAAAGGAACAAACCUCACCAAGACUAACAAGUCAAAACAAAACUAGACCCAGUAUAACUGAUUACCGAACCAAGUUACCCCAGGGAUAACAGCGCAAUCUUCUUCAAGAGUUCAUAUCGACAAGAAGGUUUACGACCUCGAUGUUGGAUCAGGACACCCAAAUGGUGCAGCAGCUAUUAAAGG
rnacentral:rRNA from 1 species